ensembl:lncRNA LUCAT1 lung cancer associated transcript 1
AGACAAUGCCCAGACCUCCAGAAACCAUGUGUCAAGCUCGGAUUGCCUUAGACAGCUCACCCAGCUGGAACUCUUAUGGGACCUUGGCACCAGAGACCACAAAUUCCUCUUUGAAGUUUUCUAACAGCAACAAUGGUAUUUCUGACUUGGCUUUCUUGUAUUUCUCUCACGUUAACAAAAUUGGUUCAGCAUCUACCAUGGGCUACAUGCUGAGCUACAGAGUUUCGCUCUGUCGCCCAGGCUGGAGUGCAGUGGCGCGCGAUCUCGGUUCACUGCAAGCUCCACCUCCCGGGUUCACGCCAUUCUCCUGCCUCAGCCUCCUGAGUAGCUGGGACUACAGGCGCCCGCCACCACACCCAGGAAAAACGGAGCCCGAGCAGCUAAGGAUCUUGCCCACGGUCACUGAAUUAGCAAUGCUUGUGAUGAACAUUCCCAAAGCUUUUAUGAGCUCUACGAUCUGGAAUAGGUCUCUUUGUGAUCUGUUCUCCUACUUGCUAAAUAUAUGAAAUAUUAAACUUCAUAAUCACAAAGUUUCUGUAUCCAUCUAAAAAUGCCAAAGAUUGCAUUGCUAUUUAUUGAGCGCCAAUGUUCAGAGAAUGUUGCUACCUAUUGUGGAUGCUAUAACAUGCAUGUAAGAAUUUGUCUCUUGUCUCAAGAGUGCUUACAGUUUAGUUGGAGAGACAUUUAUAUAGACACUUAUGAGACAUGUAAACCACUGACAUAGCCACUUGACAUGGCUGAAGUUCAAAUGUCAAAAGGAUAAGACAUGAACAGCAAUGUAUGCCACAAGGUCCUGCAGAGGGUGAGAUCCAUUUGGCUUGAGGUGUUAGUGAUCAGUCUUCAAAGAGAAAAUAGGAGUUUUAUCUGUGCAUUAAGGCUGAGUUGGAUUUGAAUACAGAGACAGGAGAAGGGAAGUCAUCAUGUGCCUUGAACUAGUGCAAAAGUACAGAGGUAAAGAUAGUCACCGUUAAGCGUCCCACGAUUUAGUACUGAAAAUUGCAGAGAUUACUGAAUGAAUUUAUUAAAGGAAAUAAUUCUGAGUCUGUCAAUACAGUCAUGCAUUGCUUAAUGAUGGAGAUACAUUCUGAGAAACAAAUCCAUAGGUGAUUUCAUCAUUGUGUGAACACCACAGAGUACACAGACCUAGAUGGUAUAGCCUACUAUACACCUAGGCUAUAUAGUAUAGCUGUGAAAGGAAAAUAAAAUCUUGGAAUACUAAACUCACUAUGCCAAAGGGAGAAGUUAAGCUUGGGAAAGAAGUCAUGCAAAAACUGCCUUCCUUUUGCUCCUAAACAGCUGCAGCACAGAGGGCCACAUAGCUCCCCACGUGGCCUCCCUCACAAACUGCUCACAAUGAAAUUCUUUGUGGGCCCAAGUCUUUAUCCUAAAACAGAGUUCUGUGGAAUCACAUCCUGAUAACGUAAAUUAACAGUUUACCUUCACAGGUACUGGACAAAUACAAGAUUAGAAAUCAUCCCUCUGCCCACCCUGAGAAAUAUUCAUGUUUGACUUCUGAUAUGGUCUGUGUCCCCACCCAAAUUUCAUCAUGAAUUCCUACCUGUUCUGGGAAGGGCCCUGUAGGAGGUAAUUGAAUCCUGAGGGCGGGUCUUUCCCAUGCUGUUCUCGUGAUAGUGAAUAAGUCUCAUGAGAUCUGACAGUUUUAGAAGAGGGAAUUUCCCUGCAAAAGCUCCUUUUUAUGCCUGCUGCCAUCCAUGUAAGACAUGACUUGCUCCUCCUUUCCUUCCGCUAUGAUUGUGAGGCUUCUCCAGCCAUUGUGGAACUGUAAGUCCAUUAAACUCUUUUUCCUGUAUAAAUUACCCAGUCUCAGGUAUGUCUUUAUCAGCAGCGUGAAAACAGACUAAUACAAUUUCUUUCUCUACUCUAUGUUUAUACUACAUAAAAUGCAGAUUUACUUUGUGAGAGGAAUGUAUAAUUGACUGUUGCUCUUUCCCCACCUGCCUGCUCUUUCUCCUUUAAAAACUGAAGUCCUAAAGACUCUUUGGAAAAAACACAGUCCACAGAUUCUAGUGUAACUUGUGUCUCUUUUUCCUGGUGUGUCCUCAGUCUGAGUAAAAUAAGCCUCUAAAUUGAUGAGAUUUGUCUCACUUUUUGGUUUACAUAGCCUAUUGCUCCUAGGCUACAAAGCUAUACAGCAUGUUACUGUACUGAAUACUAUAGGCAAUUGUAACACAGUUGUGUUUGUAUCUCUAAACAUAUCUAAACAUAGAAAAGGUAACACAUUGUGCUACAACCUUACAAUGACUAUGAUGUCACUAAAAAAUUUUCAGCUGCAUCAUAAUCUUAUGGAACCAUCAUCAUGUAUGGAGUCUGUUGUUUCAUUUACAAAGGAGUUGUGUUCUUUUGGUGGGGGGUAAUUUUGAAACAAAUAUCUUUCUCUGUUUUUUGGGGUUUUGGGUAUUGUUUUGUUUUGUUUUGUCUUGUUUUGAGUCAGGGUCUUACUCUGUCAUCCAGGCUGGUGUGCUGUGGUGCUAUCAUAGCUCACUACAGCCUCAACCUCCUGGCCCCAGGAGAUUCUCCUGCCCUGGCCUUCCAAAGUGUUAGGAUUACAGGCAUGAGCCACCGUGGUAGCUGAAAUCCCUUUCUUUGAAGCACAUUAGAGAAUGAAAAAGAAAAGAGAGAAAAAAAUAAGAGAAAGAAUAAAAAGAAAUUGCUGUGUCCUGAGUCAUGUCCCUCCUGGUAAAUAAAAUUUAUGGGAAGCCAUUAUUUUGGACUGAGGUCCCAUAGUAGGGCCCAAUAGACCAAACCACAUAAUCAAGCUAAAACCUUAAGGAAGCAGAUAAAUCCCCAAACACACCAGUUUUUCUUGAAAACAAGAGGUUCACUCACAGCCAUCACUUGGAAAAGACCCAGUCAACUUGAGUCACCCUAAUAAGGAAGUCCUUCUGCUUUAAACCUUAUAAGAAAAGUAACCUGAAGUAACCUGAUGUUAACCAUUCUGCUUUUUUCUAUAUUUGUUUCCUUGUUCUCAUAUAAAAACUAACUGUUGCAAUGAGUGCUGAUCAUGCCACUGUACUCCAGCCUGGACAACAGAGUGA